UACGUAUGGAGCAAGCGUUAUCCGGAUUUACUGGGUGUAAAGGGAGUGUAGGCGGCAUGGCAAGUCUGAUGUGAAAAUCCGGGGCUUAACCCCGGACCUGCAUUGGAAAUUGUCAGGCUGGAGUGUCGGAGAGGUAAGUGGAAUUCCUAGUGUGGCGGUGAAAUGCGUAGAUAUUAGGAGGAACACCAGUGGCGAAGGCGGCUUACUGGACGACAACUGACGCUGAGGCUCGAAAGCGUGGGGAGCAAACAGG
rnacentral:rRNA from 1 species